CGCCCGGGCACGGCUACCCAAUGCGCAAGCGCGUGAUAGGAGCGGGGAGGGGGGAAAGCGGGCGACCCGCCGCGCAUGCGCGUUUCAGCAUCCGCGCCUGGUUUUGAGACGAUGGAAGGAUGGAGCAAAUCUGUUUCGUUCAGAAAACCGAGCGGAAUGAAGGCUGAAGCUCUGGCUGGCUAGAGCUGUGGAUCGCUUCCCGUUGAUGGCCCGUGUGAUCUGUUUCCGACCUGGCUCAGCAUUUCGUAUCCAUUGUUCCCAAGUCAGAAAGGAGAGGAUGGGGUUCUGCAUUUCCAAAUCCUACAUAACUGAUAGGAUUCUCACGUUAAGGGUUAAUAUACAAUUUAGAAGCCAUCCAACUCCUGAUUACUCUUAUGUGGCUUACAGGUGAAAAUUAAGAGCAAUACAAAAAACAGAAGAGAAAUUAUGACUGGGCCAAGAAGCUCAUCCAAAAGGGGCACAACCAUCAUCCUGCCCAAAACCUUGGGAAAAAAGCAAGGCCUUUUAAUAGCUUUUUGAAUGGCAUCAGGAUGGGAGCCAUCAAGAUCUCUCUUUUGAGUUUUCAAACUAUCAAACAAAACAAAACAAAACAAAUGAGAAUAUUUACCAUCGUACUGCAGAAAUCCACGAUCAUCUUUGGCCACUUCAGAUUCAGGCUAAAGAAAACCCAAACAUAUUAACAUUAUGGAGAGUAUGGUAAUGGUACAAAUCCACAGGACAAGUGGAUGCAAAUCUUAACCCAGGGAGGCAAUUUACAGUUAAUGUUAACAUUAUUAUUCCUAUCAUUCUGUACCAAGUAAAUUCAAUUCCUGUGCAUUAAUUAAAAAAAUAAUACCUCC